rnacentral:lncRNA from 1 species
UAAAAACAAAGAUGUACCCAUAGUGCGAGUGAUAGUUUCAUUUCUUUUAACUAUAUAGCAUACUAAAAUCAACCGAAAAAAAAAACAAUCAAAACAUAUAUCCUCAAUGUUUUUUUCCUCUCUUUUUUUCUCCUAAAAAUCCCUGCCUUUUCACUCAGAAACCCACAAAAUUUCCCUCUCGCCACUUGAGAUCCUUACUUUCUGUAACAUAAAUCCCCAUUGUCUUUUGUUUUUUGGUAUUUUUGGCUUCUCUCUCCUUUUUUGCUCCCUCUUCCUCUUAUCAGUGUCUCUUUGUCUUUUGCGCUCAACGACUCGUGGUCCUACUCUCUUGCUCCUAUUUUUGUCUCCUCUUCUCUCUCCUCUAACGACUUCGUACGCUUCUAGCUCUACUGUUGUCCUUCUUCCGAGAUUCUCUAUCUUCUUCUCCCUCCUUAGCAUUUUUGUCACGUUGCCUCCAAUAUGUUUCUAGAUUCGUCUCCUCAUGGCA